ACUUUCGCACCCCUCUGUCCCACAAGGAGGGACCAGAAUGGGUUUUGCACAACCUGGCCCGGUGCGAUCCCCGCACCACCCACGGGACGCAAUACCUACUCCCGGAUCUCGGCCGCAGGGAGACAGUGACGGUGGGAACAGUUUGCGGAGGCGUGCAGGAGCCAAGGACACCUCAGCCCCCAGUGAGACGUUUGAAAACCCAACUUAACCCCGCUCUCCAUUCUCAGCGACUCCCAUCUUUUCUUCAUUCUAUUGUUUAAGCGUAGCUGGGCAUUUCAUUGGAGUCCCAGUGAAAUAUGCAAAUGCCCUGUGAAAGUUUCUUGAAUAUUUGAUAGGUAUUUUGGGGAGGGGGAGUUUAUGUUACUCGGUUAUAUCAUUCGUACUUCCCUGUCCAAGUAAAUAUGGCAGACUCAUCCUGUGUGUUUAAAUUGGUAUUGGUGAUGCGGUUUCACUUCAUGAAGUAACUUCAGAUUUCUGACUCUGUAUCGCAUUGCCGGUACAGAGUGCGUCCAUUCGACUGAGCAAACUUGGUUUGGACUAGGUUCCCAUUUCCCCAACUAUUUGAGAGCAGAAUUGGAGGUGUUAGCCGAACUGGGCUUUUAUGACUGUUCUUAGGUUUACAC
rnacentral:lncRNA from 1 species